CUGCCCGUCUUGGCCUCCCAAAGUGCUGGGAUUACAGGCGUGAGCCACUGCACCAGGCUCAAUAGCCCUUAAAAAAUCCCUUAUUAUAGAGAUUUCCAAAUAGAUACAAAAUUAAAGAGAAUAUUGAACACUCCUGUACCUAUCACUGAACCUCAAUAAUUGUCAAUGCAUCACCAAUCGACAGCAGCCCUUUGGAAAUCGAGCCCUAGGAGGCUUGAGUGAUGCUGUGAGCACAGGGCUUGGGGGCUGGAAACUUUCAUUUCAGUGACCCUAGGAGCAGAGACCACCCCUUUGGAAGAUGAGCAAACUCACCUCUCCUUUCAUCCCUCCAUUCCCCCAACCACCUGUGUACUUAUCUCAUGCCAGGCACUGGAGCAGAGUGUUAUUUAUGCCUGCUUUGUUUCUGCUUACAAGAACUAGGAGACAUGAGCUGUCUCAUCCCGCUUGUGGGCAGAGAUUACACGGCAGUUCAGUGUGAUCCUAAAAGCAAGGGGGUGCUGUGAGUGUUGAGAAAGGAGCACCUACCUGUCCAGCAGAGUCAGGAUCUCACCCCAGCCCUUCUGGAAACUGGCUUGA
rnacentral:lncRNA from 1 species